rnacentral:misc_RNA from 1 species
GAGUUAGGGUCCUAGUGGCCCAACCUCCAACCCUCUGUUGUUAAAACUACCUUGUUGCUUUGGCGGGACCGUUCGGUCUCCGAGCGCGUUAACCUUCGGGUUGGCGAGCGCCCGCCAGAGUCCAACCAAACUCUUGUAUUAAACCAGUCGUCUGAGUAUAAAAUUUUAAUUAAAUUAAAACUUUCAACAACGGAUCUCUUGGUUCU